UCUAUUCCACCUUAACCCAACACCAAAAUCCCCACACUUCAUUCCCUCAAACAAACUACUAUUACAACCAACAAUAUCAACAACAAACCAACAUACACUCACCCAUACAAUACACUCCAAUUCCUCAACCCAACUCUGAUAACUCAAACCCCCAUUCUCAACCCCAAACAUUUAACACCACAUUCUCACAACCCACUUCUACAUGCAACCCUGAUGAUGUCUACUAUCCUCCUAUCCAACACAUCCAACCCAACACCUUCACACAACUAACACAUUCACUACCCGACUUUGACCUCACCGAUGAGCAUCUACUGAAUAUGCCUACUUU
rnacentral:lncRNA from 1 species